rnacentral:rRNA from 1 species
AGCGAACGUUAGCGGCGGGCCUAACACAUGCAAGUCGAACGAGAAAACCUUCGGGUGAGUACAGUGGCGCACGGGUGAGGAACGCGUAGGUAAUCUACCCUCCCGGCGGGGGACGAACACUCCGAAAGGAAUGCUAAUACCGCAUAAGACCACGCUUACUAAGGUGAGAGUGGUAAAAGGUGCCUCAAAGCACCACCAGAGGAUGAGCCUGCGUCCCAUCAGCUUGUUGGUAAGGUAAUGGCUUACCAAGGCUAAGACGGGUAGCUGGUCUGAGAGGAUGAUCAGCCACACUGGUACUGGAACACGGACCAG